rnacentral:rRNA from 1 species
GACGAACGCUGGCGGCGUGCUUAACACAUGCAAGUCGAACGGAAAGGCCCUGCCUUUGUGGGCUGCUCGAGGGGCGAACGGGUAAGUAACACGUGAGUAACCUGCAAUUGACUUUGGGAUAACUUCAGGAAACUGGGGCUAAUACCGGAUAGGAGCUCCUGCUGCAUGGUGGGGGCUGGUAAGUUUCGGCGGUUGGGGAUGGACUCGCGGCUUAUCGGCUUGUUGGUGGGGUAGUGGCUUACCAAGGCUUUGACGGGUAGCCGGCCUGGGCGGGUGACCGGCGACAUUAGAACUGGGCUACGGCCCGGCCGCCUACGGGAGGUAGCAGUGGGGAAUAGUGCACAAUAGGCGGAGGGAUGGUGGAGCCACGCCGCGUGCGGGAUGUCGGCCUGCGGGUUGUAAACCGAUGUCCCCUGUGCCGGGACGUGAGUGACGGUAAUGGGUGAAGAAGCACCGGCUAACUACGUG